GCGGGUGUAGUUCAAUGGUAGAACGCCAGCUUCCCAAGCUUGAUACGAGGGUUCGAUUCCCUUCACCCGCUCCA
rnacentral:tRNA from 14 species